UGUGAUCGAUGAUGACCUUUUUAAACAAGAGACUGCUGGAUGAUUCUUGCGGAUAUGGGACUGAGAUCAAUC